rnacentral:rRNA from 1 species
GAUGAACGCUGGCGGCGUGCCUAAUACAUGCAAGUCGAGCGAACAGACGAGGAGCUUGCUCCUCUGACGUUAGCGGCGGACGUGUGAGUAACACGUGGAUAACCUACCUAUAAGACUGGGAUAACUUCGGGAAACCGGCGCUAAUACCGGAUAAUAUAUUGAACCGCAUGGUUCAAUAGUGAAAGACGGUUUUGCUGUCACUUAUAGAUGGAUCCGCGCCGCAUUAGCUAGUUGUUAAGGUAACGGCUUACCAAGGCAACGAUGCGUAGCCGACCUGAGAGGGUGAUAGGCCACAUGGGAACGGAGACGCGGUCCAGACUCCUGCGGGAGGCAGCAGUAGGGAAUCUUCCGCAAUGGGCGAGAGCCUGACGGAGCAACGCCGAGUGAGUGAUGACAGUCUUCGGAUCGUAAAACUCUGUUAUUAGGGAAGAACAAAUGUGUAAGUAAAUAUGCACGUCGUGACGGUACCUAAUAAGAAAGCCACGGCUAACUACGUG